GACGAACGCUGGCGGCGUGCUUAACACAUGCAAGUCGAGCGGUAAGGCCCUUUCGGGGGUACACGAGCGGCGAACGGGUGAGUAACACGUGGGUGACCUGCCCUCAGCUCUGGGAUAAGCCUGGGAAACCGGGUCUAAUACCGGAUAUGACUCCAUGACGCAUGUUGUGGGGUGGAAAGCCUUGUGCGGCUGAGGAUGGGCCCGCGGCCUAUCAGCUUGUUGGUGGGGUGAUGGCCUACCAAGGCGACGACGGGUAGCCGGCCUGAGAGGCGACCGGCCACACUGGACUGAGACACGGCCCAGACUCCUACGGG
rnacentral:rRNA from 1 species